AUGAAGGAAGUUGUCAUCACAGUGGAAAACCCCACACAAUUAAAUACACAUUUUGUUAAAGAAUGAAUGAAGGAAUGAAUAUUUUCAUUGAUUAAUUCUGUAUUCCACAUGGUAAAGUAACUGAGUUGCUAUACGCACAAUACCAAAAUAUAAAAAUAGACAUAAAAAUAAAAAAAAUAGAGAAGGGCCUAUUUCUUCUUGUUGAAAGCUAAAUUACCCUUACAAGAACGAAAGGCAAGUUGGAGAAUGAUGCACAUUUGUGAUAAAUUAUCAGCUUUGUAUUUAAAUUGUUUUGUUUGACGUUCUUUUAUCAUCGAUGUUUAUUUUUCUUUUCUUUUCUUUUUUCUUUUUCUUUCCGCUUCAUUAUUUUUUUUGACGAAAACGAAAAUAAACGGGUACCUUUUGGUAAGACACACCUUCCAUUGAAUCCCUUGUAGUUUCCAGAGCGAAUUUGAAGUGUUUCUUUCUCAGAAGACAGUUGAGGGCGACAGAGAGAAACGUGCUUCCAAAUCUUCAGCAUGCCUACUAAGUUCUUGAUUUAGUCGGCGACUUGACUAAGUGCUUGUACUUCACCUCAGCAAACCAUGUCUAUGCCGCUUGGGACUUAACUUUCCAGCUUUCAGCAUCACCUGAUUUGUUACUGUCAGAUGAAGAAGGCUGCAUCCACUCUUUGGAAAGUACUACAUUUGGCUCUGGGGAGAGACCACGGCAUGCAGUAUUGUGCAUUUGUGUUGCAUUAAGACCUUAUUAAAGGACAUUGUGCUAUGGAAGUAAUUCAGCAACUCUGUCAUGUCUUGACUGCAGCAGCAAACACCCCCGAGGAAGAAUGAAGUAAGCGCGAUGGAGCCGGACAAUGCUCCGAGCUCCAGACUCAAAGCAGCUGGAGUCGGGGGGAGAGCUGUCUUUCUCUCCGUUGUUCUUUACUGUACAUGCUGUCUAAUGUUUUUAGAAGCACAGUCUGCAGGUAAGUCUCAAUUUUCAUUAAUACAUUUCCUAAAUCUGUACAUUACAUUUCUAACAGAAUUUUAGUGCCUGAUCAACAUGCGAAAUGUCUGUUCAGUUCUACCAUGGUCUUGACAUCCGUGCCAUAACCCAGUAUGUUACAUGAGCACACGGGUUCAUUGAAGUCCAAAGACCUUACUCUGCCUUGCAAUAGUAUUUGAGGAUACUUGACAGGA
rnacentral:lncRNA from 1 species